rnacentral:lncRNA from 1 species
GUCCUGUCAAAUCAAACCAUUAAGGAAGAUGAUUAGCCACACACUAGAAAGUGUCGCAUCAACCGCCAUAACAUAAGUGCUCAUGUCAUGGCCAUUAAGGAAAAUGAUUGACCACGUAUGAGAUCGAGUCAUGUCAACCAUUCGGUCUCAGGAAUGUCAACAAGAAUCAUCAAUAAAAAUAGCUAGCCAUGUGCUAGAUAAGGUGUUGCCAUCCUCCAAGUCCACGGAAUUCAAGGACAUCCCAUGAGGGUAGGGUGGCCUCCAAUAGUCCUACCCUCUGACACGACUCCUCUAUAAAUGGAAACAGCCUAAGGACC